rnacentral:ncRNA from 1 species
GUUCGUCUUCAGGGGCAGGGUGUAAUUCCCGACCGGUGGUGAUAGUCCACGAACCAUAUCUUUUGAUAUGGCUGAAUUGGUGUAAUUCCAAUACCGACAGUAAAGUCUGGAUAAAGAAGAUAGGG